rnacentral:misc_RNA from 1 species
GAUGAAGAACGUAGCGAAAUGCGAUAAGUAAUGUGAAUUGCAGAAUUCAGUGAAUCAUCGAAUCUUGAACGCACAUUGCGCCCGCCAGUAUUCUGGCGGGCAUGCCUGUUCGAGCGUCAUUACAACCCUCAGGCCCCCGGGCCUGGCGUUGGGGAUCGGCGGAAGCCCCCUGCGGGCACAACGCCGUCCCCCAAAUACAGUGGCGGUCCCGCCGCAGCUUCCAUUGCGUAGUAGCUAACACCUCGCAACUGGAGAGCGGCGCGGCCACGCCGUAAAACACCCAACUUCUGAAUGUUGACCUCGAAUCAGGUAGGAAUACCCGCUGAACUUAAGCAUAUCAAUAAGCGGAGGA